rnacentral:lncRNA from 1 species
AAUGUUAGGUUCGUAAUUUGAGCAAUGUCGUAUUCUUUCAUUUACAAUUUGGCUCAGGCGUAGAGAGUCAACAAAUUGUUGGUUUAAAGGAGCCAAUAUUUUGCGGAAGGUCAAGUUGGGCUAAGUUGAAAGUAGCAGAUAAUGGGGUUCAGUCGAGUCAUGUUCGAAGUAGUGACAGAUUAGAUUGGGCCGAGUUACAAUUAAGACCUGUAUUUGUUAUGUUUAUAUGCUUUUAAGUUAAUUAGUUGUAUCUUUCUAAUAGUUUAAGUUAUUUUUUUUAAUAAACAGAGGUAUGUCGGAUCGUUGGCGCUAACUAUUAAUCCCAAAAGCUCAAGCUGUUAGAAAUACGUAAUCAAUUCACUUAAAGCGUACAAAUACAGCGCCAACGGGUCUCAAUUGUGACUCGGUCCAAUCAGCCUCACGCCACUUCGAGCAUGACUCGGCCUAACCCAGCCACACGCCAUUUCGAACAUGACUCGGCCUAUAUGACCUCCCGCCACAGGACAAAAUGCUGACUCAUUUAAGCCAACAAGAUAUACCUUAUGGGAGAAAGGACAGAAAAGGGGAUUUGCCCACACUACAGUUAUCCCGACCACAAACCCACUACCCCCUUCCAAGACCGAGGUCCAUAAUUCAACAGAGAAAAUAAUCUUCCUAUGCGCAUCUUCGCUUCGAGUUUGAUGGAGCUGGAACUUUUGAAUUAACGAUUAGUACAGACAAUUUGAUAAUUGAAAUCAGAACCAAAAGUCAUGGGUUCGGUUCGUGGCCAAGUUGGGUCGAGUCAUAGUUAAAAUUAUUCGAAUUUUUAAAAUUAAUGAUUAGUGCUAACGAUCGGACACAAAUUAUAUCUCUAAUUAAUUUGAGCAUAACUUCAAAUUGUUUUAGAGAUAAUAAUG